UACAGAGGUCCCGAGCGUUGUUCGGAUUCACUGGGCGUAAAGGGUGCGCAGGUGGCCAACUAAGUCAGACGUGAAAUCCCUCGGCUUAACCGGGGAACUGCGUCUGAUACUGGAUGGCUUGAGUUUGGGAGAGGGACGCGGAAUUCCAGGUGUAGCGGUGAAAUGCGUAGAUAUCUGGAGGAACACCGGUGGCGAAGGCGGCGUCCUGGACCAACACUGACACUGAUGAGCGAAAAGCC
rnacentral:rRNA from 1 species